UACAGAGGUCUCAAGCGUUGUUCGGAUUUAUUGGGCGUAAAGGGUGCGUAGGCGGCGCUGUAAGUCGGGUGUGAAAUUUCGGAGCUUAACUACGAAACUGCAUUCGAUACUGCGGUGCUUGAGGACUGGAGAGGAGACUGGAAUUCAUGGUGUAGCAGUGAAAUGCGUAGAUAUCAUGAGGAAGACCAGUGGCGAAGGCGGAUCUCUGGACAGUUCCUGACACUGAGGCACGAAGGCCAGGGGAGCAAACGGG
rnacentral:rRNA from 1 species